rnacentral:rRNA from 1 species
ACUCAAAUGAAUAGACGGGGACCCGCACAAGCGGUGGAGCAUGUGGUUUAAUUCGAAGAUACGCGAAGAACCUUACCGAGGCUUGACAUCCUGGGAAUCCCUUAGAAAUAAGGGAGUGCCUUCGGGAAUCCAGUGACAGGUGCUGCAUGGCCGUCGUCAGCUCGUGUCGUGAGAUGUUCGGUUCAGUCCGUCAACGAGCGCAACCCUUAUCGUGUGUUGUAUUUUUCACGCGAGACUGCCCCGGCUAACGGGGAGGAAGGUGGGGAUGACGUCAGGUCAGCAUGGCCCUUAUGCCUCGGGCUACACACGUGCUACAAUGGCCGGUACAACGGGUUGCUUAAGCGUGAGCUGAAGCUAAUCCCAUCAAAACCGGUCCCAGUUCGGAUUGGAGGCUGCAACUCGCCUCCAUGAAGUUGGAAUCGCUAGUAACCGUGGGUCAGCAUACUACGGUGAAUACGUUCCCGGGUCUUGUACACACCGCCCGU